rnacentral:lncRNA from 1 species
UACUCUAUUUAAAAUAUUAAAACCACAUCCAAUAAAGGGCAAAAUCCUUGAUUUCUAGCCUAGAUCUGAGCCUUCAUUUCUUGAGGGGGGAAAAAAAAGGCUUUUUUGGCUGCACUAGGUCCUCCUUGUGGCUCACGAGUUUUCUUUGGUUGCAGCUCAUGGGCUUAGCUGCCCCACAGUAUGUGGGAAUCUUAGUUUCCUGACUGGAGAUCAAACCUGAAUUGCCUGCAUUGGAAGGCUGAUUGUUAACCACUGGACCACCAGGAAAAUCCCCUUGAGAAAUGUUUUUGAACAAGACUUUCUCUUUUUCUAUCAUGUUUGCUUGCGUUCUCAAUCUUGCUACUUAUCCACUCCCACUGCCAGAUCUUCAAUAGCGUUAUUCAAACCCAAUUCGGAAAUACAUUUCUUAUUUGCAUUGCCUAGAAGUUGAUGUUACAUGGCAUGUGAGAUUAACUUGGAUGCUGGUGACCACUGUCCUGAAAGGCCAGUGUCAUGAAAGUUACCAUUGGUGUGAUUGGCCCCACCAUCAGACAGAGUUACAAAAUUGACUCAUCUAUUGAUUAACUAAGGUGAUCUCAGAAUUUUCUACCUAGAGCACAAGGGAGCUGUAGUAAACUGGUUGCAUGGGUUUUUUCUCAGUGCUUGAGUUGGCAGUAUUUUGGCAGCUGUAGAUUUUCCCCACCCCAUGGACUUGGGACUGAAGGGCAGAAUAGUGAGAAGUCUCACGUCCACAUUCAGGUUUGGUGCUGCUACUGCAAGGUCGAAGGGUGGAUGGUCAUCUAUGAGGGAAGGAGCCAGUUGCACUGUGCCCAAGCCACACUCUACACAUCCUACAGACGCAACGGAAAAGUCACCAGAACCUUGCAGUGGCCUUGCCCCUCUGCAGUGCUCGCCUCGGAUUUUUUAUCAGUGUCUGCUGGAGACCCAGGGUUCAAACUACUGGAGGUCCAGAUGACAUCUGGCUUCCCAGCUCCCCCGGAAUACUGGCUGCAGUGCUUAUCAGUGCAUUAUUCAUCAAAACUGAUGAUGCAAGCCCAUGGUACCACCCUGGAAAGAAAUCAAUCGACGCCUGUAAGUGGAAGCCAUACUGGAACCACUGAGCCAUCAUUCAAGUUAGACCUGCUUCCAGGAGUGUGUGUGGCCAACAGCCUCUAAGUGUAAGUGACCUUGGGCUCUGCCUCAGUUUUUGAGUCAAUGCCAAAUACUUCCCCGGCAGCCCCCAGCAGACCACUGAGCAAAGCAGUGUGAGGGGACUUUCAAACUCUAGACAGUGGCAACUGGUUCUUGGAAGCUUGUCUUGCUGGCCACCAUUGGCUGACCAAGCUUCCUCAUAACUGCCCCACAGGCUGAAGUUCACCCCCUCGCCCCCCCAACCCUGACUCUCCUUUCUUCCCACCUAUUUCUUCAGUCACCACACCUCUACGUCAGAGUCUGAAAGUUUUCUGGAAUUGCUCUUGCUUCUUUCCCCCUUUAUCUGUCACAGCCAUUAUCCCCAAUUAAUAUCUUCCACUGCUAGCUCUGGUCAAGGCAUCUGUUUCUGGGAAGACUCACCUGACUCAUAUCACCAUUUACUUCAUUAUAUCAGGAGCUUUUGGAAAAUACAUGGGAAAACAAUGAAAAAACAAGCCUA